AGUGAACGCUGGCGGUAGGCCUAACACAUGCAAGUCGAACGGCAGCACAGUAAGAGCUUGCUCUUACGGGUGGCGAGUGGCGGACGGGUGGGGAAUACAUCGGAAUCUACUUUUUCGUGGGGGAUACCGUAGGGAAACUUACGCUAAUACCGCAUACGACCUACGGGUGAAAGCAGGGGAUCUUCGGACCUUGCGCGAUUGAAUGAGCCGAUUUCGGAUUAGCUAGUUGGCGGGGGAAAGGCCCACCAAGGCGACGAUCCGUAGCUGGUCUGAGAGGAUGAUCAGCCACACGGGAACUGGGACACGCUCCGGACUCCUGCGGGAGGCAGCAGCGGGGAAUAGUGGACAAUGGGCGCAGGUUUGAUCCAGCCAUACCGAGUGGGUGAAGAAGGCCUUCGGGUUGUAAAACCCUUUUGUUGGGAAAGAAAAGCAGCAGGUUAAUACCCCGCUGUUCUGACGGUACCCAAAGAAUAAGCACCGGCUAACUUCUUG
rnacentral:rRNA from 1 species